rnacentral:rRNA from 1 species
AUAUCCCGAAGACUGGUGCUUGCUUGUCUUGCACUGUGCUCUGACGGAUGCUUUUAUUAGACCAAGCCGCUGAGGACAUUUGUUUGCUGCAAAGCUUCUUUGUUCGACUCGUGUGAUGGUGACUCUGGAUAACCAAUUCUGACAAGCGAACGUACCCCUCUUUGAGCGGGACGGCGCUGCCACUUUCGAGUGUCUGCCUUAUCAGCUAUCAACCGUUCGUUAUGCGCGACCGAUGGCUUUGACGGGUAACGGGGAAUCAGGGUUCGAUUCCGGAGAGGCAGCCUGAGAGACGGCUACCACGUCCAAGGACGGCAGCAGGCACGCAAAUUACCCAAUCCCAGCAAAUGGGGGAGGUAGUGACGAAAUCUAACGAUGCGGGCGCCCUUUCUGGGGCCCCGCAAUCGGAAUGGGCACUUUCUAAACAACCUGUUGAGAACCUACUGAAGGGCAAGUCUGGUGCCAGCAGCCGCGGUAAUUCCAGCUUCAGCAGCAUCUAUUAAAGUUGCUGCGGUUAAAAGGCUCGCAGUUGAAUGUCUGUAUCGAGCGCAGGUAGGUGGACGUUGGGGCGUGGAAGUACGGGUAGUUUGGUUGGUGUGUGGGCGCUCUCUCGUAGAGUUGUUCUGUGCUGCCUCUCUGCUUUUCCACACACCCCCGUCCGUGACAAGCCUCCUCGCUCGGGUACAUAACGGAUAUCGGUCAAAGGAGUGUAGUUGGUGUUGUGAGGGAGUAGGGUGUGCGCGUGCACUUCACGGUGUGCGUGUGUGCCUCUCUCUUACUAUCGCUGCUGCGUUAAGCUCCAUCGGUAUCACGGUCACCUUGAGUAAAUCAGAGUGCUCAAAGCAGUCGUAGGGGCCUUGCGCCCUGUGAACAGUCUUGACGGACUGACUUGGUUUUGCAUGGCAUGUCGGAAGACGACGUCGUGUGCUGGCUCAGAGGAUAAAUCAGUGGUACAAGCCAGCCUCGACGUAAUGAUUAAAAGGGACGGUCGAGGGCAUUGGUAUUGCGAGGCGAGAGGUGAAAUUCUGUGACCCCCGCAAGACCUCCUGAAGCGAAAGCGUCUGCCAAGGACGUUUUCAUUAAUCAUGAACGAAAGUUAGAGGAUCGAAGGCGAUCAGAUACCGCCCUAGUUCUAACCCUAAACGAUGCCAACCAUCAAUCCGCGCGUAGCACCCUUCUUAACGGGCUCGGCGGGCAGCUCCCCACUCACGGGAAACCAGAGCCUCUGGGUUCCGGGGGGAGUCUGGUUGCAAAGCUGAAACUUAAAGGAAUUGACGGAAAGGCACCACCAGGCGUGGAGCCUGCGGCUUAAUUUGACUCAACACGGGCCAUCUCACCAGGCCAGCACUCUUGUAUGAUUGACAGAUUGAGAGCUCUUUCUCGAUUCAGUGGAUGGUGGUGCAUGGCCGUUCUUAGUUGGUGGAGUGAUCUGUCUGGUUAAUUCCGAUAACGAACGAGACUCUCCCCUGCUAACUAGUCGGUUGGAUCUUGAUCAGUGGGUUGCGUGCUGAGUAACUCUCUCGCGCUGCGUGCGUUCAUGUGAGCUCGCUUGUGUGGGGCAACCUGCGCUCGUGGGUUCGCUGUGCGUAGUGUGUUGGGGAUGCCUUGGAUCACACUGCACCCCAAGUCCGCCGCUUAUGCUAUAACUCUUCUUAGAGGGAUUCACGGCACUGAAGCCGUAAGAGACUGAGAGCAAUAACAGGUCUGUGAUGCCCUUAGAUGCUCUGGGCCGCACGCGCGCUACAAUGCCGGGCACAGCAGGUGUUUCUCCUGCUCCGACAGGAGCGGGUAACCCUCUGAAAGCCAGUGUUACAUGCAAGUGUCACCUCCCUCGUGGAGUGGCACAAAGGCGUGCUUGGGCCUGGGACUUGCAAUUUUUUCCCACCAACGAGGAAUGCCUAGUAGCGGCGGGUCACUGAGCCCGCCGUGACUCAGUCCCUGCCCUUUGUACACACCGCCCGUCGCUACUACCGAUUGGGUGUACCAGUGAGAGCCUUGGACUGGCGUCCGUUGUUACUUCUG